AGUUAAAUAUUCCUUGCCCACGAACAUUCGACCACCCAUCAGAGAUGAUUGCAAUACAAUCUGCUUUCUCUAUGAAAAAUUCAGGAAAUUUACCGGAACAUUUCUGACCCUUUGAAACCCUAAUUAUCGCUAUCAUUGCUAUUAUAGCUGACGUUUGCUAGCUAGCAACCCUAACUAGUUAGCUACCUACCCUAACUAGCCAGCUACCUAACUAGCUAGCUAGCUACCUGGCUAGCUAGCUAGCUGGCUACCUAGCUAGCUGGCUAACGUUAGCCUACCUCAAUACAUUUGGCAUGGAAACACGAUUUCAAAAGAUUGAGAGGGGCACCGUAUUUUAGCUCGCUAACAUUAGCAUUGCUAGCUAUUUUUGACGAACUUUGCUAGUAACAGUAAUGGCAAUAUUGCCAUCUCUUUUAAUGUAAAUUGAUUACAUCAUAAUAUGAAAAAGUUGUUUUCGUAGUAAUUAUUUGCCUACUUUAGCAAUGUUAUCCUAUUUCCAUGCCUCUCUAAGUUAGUGUAAUUUCACCAGCCUGAAUCUAAUCUAAUAUGGAGCCCUUCAGGCUACAUAUAUAGCAUUGAAUUAGCUUCCAAACGAGAUUGUGUUUUUUCUCAAGCUAUGUUUAUAGUUGAGGGAUGAUGGCAAUCAUUGACCCUCUUGUUAUGUUAAAAAGGGCACAGUUGGGUGCCAGACUGAAUUCCUGGUCAUGAAUGGAUGACGGGACCUACCAGAAGGAGCAAAGAUGGAUAUCGUAACAUGUCCAGCAAUGUAAUUGCAAUGGUUUAGCGACCUCCAAAAAAGAUUUUCAUUCGCUGUUCACUUUCUUUUUUCAGAGCUUGUCAAGCAAGACCUCAGAAUAAACAUGUGUCAUACGACACAAGUACCUUCUUUAGAACAAAAUACAAUUUGCCACUUGGCUGUCUAUAUCACCCUGUCACAGGCCUUCCCAGUCAGCACCACCUCAUAAGAUUGCCUGCUGCAGUUGUUCGAGAAAUGUCCAGUUUGCAGCCGACCAGCAGCAUAGACAAGACCAGCAAUGGGGCCCUCAUCAGCAUCAUGCAGACAUGCCCUCGCAGUGAGAAUUCCUAUGAAUGGAACAGUCGGCCACAUGUUGGCAAGUAUCCAGCCAGCAACCUUCACCUGUCAGUGGCAACAGCUUUCACAAGCUCAUCAUUUGUACAAAUACAGAAAGUAACCCACUUCAUUACUUUGAUGCAUUUGAUAACCAAAUUGUGAAACAUAAUUUAAGUAAACUGACAUUAUUUGUUGCUUAUUUUCUACUUCUUAGAUGCAUAUAAUGUCCAGCGCAUAACCUAGCUUGGUGGAACCAGCCUGAUCACUGUGUUCACCAUUUCUUUUCACUUCACAUUUUAUGAUAUCUGAAGUGAAAAGAAAGGUGAUCAGGUUGGUUCCACCGGGUUAAUCAUAACCACCACUGCUAAUGUAAUCAAUGUGUGUGUGUGUGUGUGUGUGUGUGUGUGUGUGUGUGUGUGUUGUGUGUGUGUUGUGUGUGACCAACCAAUAUCUUUGAUGAGGGGCAAGAAGCGGAUCUACGCUGCUAUGCCCAUCAAUAGGGAUCUGGCAAAGACCUCACCUCCAGCCUCGCCUCUUGCCUGCUCACCAACGGUCUUUGAUGGGGAGGAUAGAAUUAGAUGGACUGGAGAGGGUUUUUCCAGAAGGAAGCCUCAGUUUUUUGAUUGGGAGACCAUAAUUGGAAACAUGUAUGGAGCCAGCACAUGGAGACUAGCAAGAUGAAGUGAUGAAGUCCAGACUGACAGAAGGGCUUGAUACACUCGGCAUCAACAUUUUACUAGGCUCUUUUUUUAUUAUAGAAUUGAGUGGAAUCAGUCCAUAUCAGGAGGGAGAAACCCAGUGUGUUCUGCACCAGGAUCAGGAAACUCCUGCUGUAUACGGAACACUGCACAGGAAGGUAUGACCACCCUGACAUGUUUUCCAAGGUAGUCCCAUUACCACCAGACAACAUGCCAAUAGGCACAGUAUCUGUAUUGGCUGGGAAAGACAAUGAAAG